CCCCACCUUCUACGUCAGCCGCCACCCUCCCCCUCUUUCUCCAGUGCCACCCACGGCAAUGGCAAGAUCCGCCGCCGGCCCCGGCACGGCCUCAACCACCGGAUCCGGCCACCUCAGCCCCUCGGCGCGGCCUCAACUGUCGGAUCCGGCCACUACCGGCCCACGACGCGGCAUUCAACCAUCGGCCCUGGGUGCGGCAACCAGCCCCCCAUCUUCCCUUGGGCAGCUGUGAACUUCAUCUCCAUCACCGAGGAGCCUCCCCUCUCAUCUGGCCAGAUUCCAGCGAUCUCCGUCGUGCCAUAGCCUGUCUUGUGCCGGAUUCGGCCACCGGGGCCACUAGAUCCAUGGCAAGUGGAUCCCGUGCGUGCUAGAUUCGGCUGUGUUGCGCCCCUCCACGCCAUGCAGUUCUCUUCCCGUGAGGCUCGCCGUUCUUGAUCCCGAGCUCCAGGGCUCCUCAAUGACGAAUCUGAAGCACAACCGUGGCCGCUUGGAGGCACAGAAAAGGAGGGCAACGGCAGCACCGCCGCCGGACGGCCAGAGUCCUGCUCCUCCCCUUGUUCUCGUCCUUGUCUGCGUUCAGGCGCGGCUAUCAGCGUCAGCCGCUGCGGGCGUCACGUGCAACUCAGCCCAAGGGGUCGAGAAGUACAUCCCACGGGACAUCGCAGUACUGUGUGGAAUCCUAGUACUGGACUGGCUUGGUCUUUCAACGAGCUUCACCGUCGUCCGCCGGCGCGAUCCUCUGGUGAGCACUGCCCCUAUUCCCCCUUUUCCUUUCUCCCACCUCUCCUAAUAUUUUUUUGUUGCAGGAGCUGCGCUGGCAAGGGCUCACUGUUGCUUCUCAUUGCAGCUCAUUGUUGUUCUCCACCUGAUGUCUAGCAGUGCAGGUUGCUUCUCAUUGCAGCUCGGUUGGGUCGCCGGUGCAGUACACAGGCACGUGAGAGGACGACAGGCGUGUAGUUUGGUUUCGGCCGUGCAUCGCUCUGGUAUGGAUACGGGCGUCAUGCGUUUUACUCGAUUGUGCGCAGAAGGUUCUUGGACUCUGUUGGCGUGUAGUUUGGACAGCGGCUCGUCAGCUUGUCCCGUGUUUUGCAGCUGGUGCCACUGCGUGUGCAUUUUAGUAGUUGGCCGCCCCGUGUAGUUUAGUUAAUGUGUUUGUAUCUACAAAGAAGGUUUUUGUUUUUGAGCACGUACAAUGUAGUUUGGAGCAUGUGAACAUCCAGUGCAAAAUGGUGCAUUUUAUUUUUGAGGAGUUUAUGUAUAAAAUUACAG
rnacentral:rRNA from 1 species